rnacentral:rRNA from 1 species
GAUGAACGCUGGCGGCGUGCCUAAUACAUGCAAGUCGAGCGAACAGACGAGGAGCUUGCCCCUCUGACGUUAGCGGCGGACGGGUGAGUAACACGUGGAUAACCUACCUAUAAGACUGGGAUAACUUCGGGAAACCGGAGCUAAUACCGGAUAAUAUAUUGAACCGCAUGGUUCAAUAGUGAAAGACGGUUUUGCUGUCACUUAUAGAUGGAUCCGCGCCGCAUUAGCUAGUUGGUAAGGUAACGGCUUACCAAGGCAACGAUGCGUAGCCGACCUGAGAGGGUGAUCGGCCACACUGGAACUGAGACACGGUCCAGACUCCUACGGGAGGCAGCAGUAGGGAAUCUUCCGCAAUGGGCGAAAGCCUGACGGAGCAACGCCGCGUGAGUGAUGAAGGUCUUCGGAUCGUAAAACUCUGUUAUUAGGGAAGAACAAAUGUGUAAGUAACUAUGCACGUCUUGACGGUACCUGAUCAGAAAGCCACGGCUAACUACGUG